UGCCAAAGCGCCCGGCCAGCAAAGGGGCCGCGGCUUCCACCCCCGCCCGGCCGGGAGCUCGCGAGCCACACGCUCUGUGGGACUGGGCAGAAACAGGCUGCAUCGGUCAUAGGAACAAGUACUAAGGCUUAGCCUCCUAGGCUGCCUAAAGGAUGUGUUUCAAUCAUAAUUCAGAAGAUUGUGAACAAAAAAAUACAUACAGAAGAAAUACAACUAGAGAAUUUACUGUGAAGACAGACACACAAAAAUUGCAGGAACAUAUCAGACAUCCCACAGUCUAGAAGUCUGUCAGAGACAAGAUACAGCGUGCCUCAGUGGAAGACAGAGAAGCCAAUUAUGGAAUAACUAGUCCACAGAAGAAACUUCUUAAUCCUGCCAGCUAAUGAUUGGCUCACCCCUUCAACCAUGAGGGUUUACAUCCUGGCUAUUUUCCUCUAAUAGAACUGUGGAUGUUCUGAUUAUCCACAUAAAUGUCUAAUGCUGUUUUGAAUCCUAAGGUCUUGACAUCAGUGAUAUUUUGUUGUUUAAAAGGUUAGUGAUGCAUUGUGUUAAAAAGUAUUUUCUUGUAUCGUU